UGAGACAUAGUUAGGCACAAA
rnacentral:piRNA from 1 species